rnacentral:rRNA from 1 species
AUCAACUAGGUUCCGCAGGCGUCGGUAAUAGGAGGUGCGCUAGAGUUGGUCGGAGUAUGUGGACGUAAAAGGGGAGUAGGCGACUUAGUAAGCGUGAUGUGAAACCCCCAAGUUCAACUUGGGGCGGCCAUGCGGAAGUGCUAUGGAUAGAGUCUGGUAAGGGAACACGGAAUUCCUGGGGUAGCGGUGAAAUGCUUAGAUAUCAGGAGGAACACCAGUGGCGAAGGCGGUGUUCUGGGCCAGUACUGUCGCUGAGGCGCGAAAGCGUGGGGAGCGAACAGGAUUAGAAACCCGAGUAGUC